CAAAAUCAUUACGGGGUGUUUUUGUUGAGACCAACCAAAGUGAGCUGUCAGCAUUCAUAUCAUAUGCAUUGGCAUUUCCUAAUAACUUUCUUGCCCUUGUAGACACUUAUGAUGUCAUACGAAGUGGAAUCCCCAACUUCUGUGCAGUUGCAUUAGCUCUCAAUGAGUUAGGAUACAAAGCAAUUGGCAUUAGACUGGACUCUGGUGACCUUGCCUAUUUGUCUUGUCAAGCCAGGAAGAUCUUUU